AAUAAGUCUGCGGGUAAACUUGUUUUCAUCGCCGGGGACUCAAUACUACAACAUGUUCACGACUGGGACUUGUCUAACGAUAAACAACGUGUAUCUGUAAAGUCCUUUUCAGGGAGUAAAGCUGAAGAUAUGCAAGAUUACAUAAAACUUUUACUACGCAAAAAGCCCGACGAGAUAAUAUUGCAUGUAGGCACUAACAAUAUUAAAGAUAACUCCAAACGGCAGAAGUGGUUGCUGCGGGUAUCUUAAACCUCGGAACCCAAAUAAAGGAUAGUUUACCAUGCACUAACGUAUGUAUAUCGGGCAUUAUUACCAGGAAAGAUAAAGCUAAUAUCCAGAAUAAAAUUAAAACUGUAAAUGACAUUCUUAAACGGGUCUCUGACCAAAACAAAUGGACCUAUAUAGACAACACUAAUUUAUAUUAUACUUGCCUAAAUAGAGGUGGCCUACAUUUAAAUAGGAAGGGUAGUAGCACUCUUACUAGAAAUUAUAGUAAUCACUUUAGUCGUAAUUGAAAUAAGGCAUGGCCAGGUGCUGUAAGGUAUGCUCAAUUUAACCCAUAUUUUCCUGAUUUGAAGGGUUUCAAAAUGGGUAUGCUUAACAUAACCAAUUUACCUAAGCAUAUUGACGAAAU